rnacentral:rRNA from 1 species
GGGACACGUGGUAUCCUGUCUGAAUAUGGGGGGACCAUCCUCCAAGGCUAAAUACUCCUGACUGACCGAUAGUGAACCAGUACCGUGAGGGAAAGGCGAAAAGAACCCCGGCGAGGGGAGUGAAAAAGAACCUGAAACCGUGUACGUACAAGCAGUGGGAGCACCUUCGGGUGUGACUGCGUACCUUUUGUAUAAUGGGUCAGCGACUUAUAUUCUGUAGCAAGGUUAACCGUAUAGGGGAGCCGCAGGGAAACCGAGUCUUAACUGGGCGUUAAGUUGCAGGGUAUAGACCCGAAACCCGGUGAUCUAGCCAUGGGCAGGUUGAAGGUUGGGUAACACUAACUGGAGGACCGAACCGACUAAUGUUGAAAAAUUAGCGGAUGACUUGUGGCUGGGGGUGAAAGGCCAAUCAAACCGGGAGAUAGCUGGUUCUCCCCGAAAGCUAUUUAGGUAGCGCCUCGUGAAUUCAUCUUCGGGGGUAGAGCACUGUUUCGGCUAGGGGGUCAUCCCGACUUACCAACCCGAUGCAAACUACGAAUACCGAAGAAUGUUAUCACGGGAGACACACGGCGGGUGCUAACGUCCGUCGUGAAGAGGGAAACAACCCAGACCGCCAGCUAAGGUCCCAAAGUCACAGUUAAGUGGGAAACGAUGUGGGAAGGCACAGACAGCCAGGAUGUUGGCUUAGAAGCAGCCAUCAUUUAAAGAAAGCGUAAUAGCUCACUGGUCGAGUCGGCCUGCGCGGAAGAUGUAACGGGGCUAAACUGUGCACCGAAGCUGCGGCAGCGACACUAUGUGUUGUUGGGUAGGGGAGCGUUCUGUAAGCCUGCGAAGGUGGCCUGUGAGGGUUGCUGGAGGUAUCAGAAGUGCGAAUGCUGACAUAAGUAACGAUAAUGCGGGUGAAAAGCCCGCACGCCGGAAGACCAAGGGUUCCUGUCCAACGUUAAUCGGGGCAGGGUGAGUCGACCCCUAAGGCGAGGCCGAAAGGCGUAGUCGAUGGGAAACAGGUUAAUAUUCCUGUACUUGGUGUUACUGCGAAGGGGGGACGGAGAAGGCUAUGUUAGCCGGGCGACGGUUGUCCCGGUUUAAGCAUGUAGGCGGAGGUUC